CCUGGCUCCGCCCCGCGCACGGCCCGGGGACCUCGCGCCCGCGCGCUGUCGUUGUGCCUGCCCUCUGCUGUGCCUGAAGACAGAACGCCUUCACACACUUCACUGCAUGGCUGCCUUGGAACACCCCCGCGUUUCCUCCGUGUGGACCCAGCCUUCCGCGCGAUGAGUAGUGGGGAAUGUAGUUCGCCCGCAGCUGCUGGCCCUGCGGCUGUCCCGACCAGGUUACGAGGAAGAGCGAGCCCUCGAUCACCAAUGAGAAGGUCUUUUCAGCCUCGAGGCCGAACCUUGGGGAGUUGGGAGUUUACACUUUCCAUUCCUGGGCGUGACACCUGGAGGUCAAAUGAUGGAGAUAUGAAAAUCAGUAAGCGUUCUGACGAGGGCAAAACCCGCCUUCUGCGCUCCUCCCCCUUGCUCCCCGCCUGUCUCCCCGUUUCUGCCCCCUUCUCCGCCCGGUCUCGCUUUACUCCUUUUUCCUUGUGUCUCUAUAGCUAGACGGCCUGCUGGCUCCGCCACUGAGUGACUGUGCGACCCUGAGGGUAAUUAACCUCUGUUCCUCAGCUUCUUUAUCUGUAAAAUAGGGAUAGAAUGGUACCUGCGUCCUAGGGUUAUUUGAGGACGAAGUGAGUUCAUGCUAAGGCUCUUAGAAGAGUAUCUUUUCGCAUAGUAAGUGCUCAAUUAAAUAUUAGCUUUGAUACCCUUCUCCCUACGUCGCCCUCCAAAAAGGGGGAGAGAGAGAGGUUGAUAAUAAUAAUAAUAGGUGUGCACCACUAAGUUGUGAGCUUUUUAUUUGGGACAGGUACUGCCAUAUCUUACUAGACUUACUACUACGAGGUACCACCACCCAGAACCCAUAGCGCUUGUAAGUCUCUGUAAGUGUUUUUUUGAAGAAUGAGGUUCGUGUCAUCAAGAUGGGUAACUGAGUGGCAAUCCAGCAUCUUCUAGAUAAAACUCAGGGUAAGACUUGGUAAAUUGGAUGGCCUAGGUCUAGUGGGGAAAACACAAGUAUAUUUGGUGACGCUUGUGGGCACGUGUUGUACACACGGUCUUUCCUCCUUGUUAAUUUAGGAGCAGAGAAACAGUAAAUGAAACAAUUUGGCUAGAACAUGGCGGUAUUUUCGAGCCGCAGGCCGGAGUGUGUCAUAGGAAGGUUUUCUGCCCUGGGUAAGCUUUAGGGCCUCUCCCAACUCCGAAGCUAGAAAGUAACGACCAUCCAUCCAUACCUUUCUGCAUACCUACUGCUCUCUGAAUACGUGAAUUGAUUAACCAAAUUCCUUGUGGAUUAAAUAGGCUCUGAAGACUCUUGCUUUGUA